rnacentral:rRNA from 2 species
GAGUUUGAUCUUGGCUCAGAGCGAACGCUGGCGGCAGGCCUAACACAUGCAAGUCGAGCGCCCCGCAAGGGGAGCGGCAGACGGGAGAGUAACACGUGGGAACGUGCCCUUUGGUUCGGAACAACCCAGGGAAACUUGGGCUAAUACCGGAUAAGCCCUCACGGGGAAAGAUUUAUCGCCAAAGGAUCGGCCCGCGUCUGAUUAGCUAGUUGGUGGGGUAACGGCCCACCAAGGCGACGAUCAGUAGCUGGUCUGAGAGGAUGAUCAGCCUCACUGGGACUGAGACACGGCCCAGACUCCUACGGGAGGCAGCAGUGGGGAAUAUUGGACAAUGGGCGCAAGCCUGAUCCAGCCAUGCCGCGUGGGUGAUGAAGGCCCUAGGGUUGUAAAGCCCUUUCGGCGGGGAAGAUAAUGACGGUACCCGCAGAAGAAGCCCCGGCUAACUUCGUGCCAGCAGCCGCCGU